AGCGGCGUACGGGUGCGUAACACGUGUGCAACGUGCCUUUAUCUGGGAGAUAGCCCUCCGAAAGGGGGAUUAAUAUUCCAUAAUAUAUUAAUUGGCAUCAAUUGAUAUUGAAAGCUCCGGCGGAUAGAGAUGGGCACGCGCAAGAUUAGAUAGUUGGUGAGGUAACGGCUCACCAAGUCUGCGAUCUUUAGGGGGCCUGAGAGGGUGAUCCCCCACACUGGUACUGAGACACGGACCAGACUCCUACGGGAGGCAGCAGUGAGGAAUAUUGGACAAUGGGUGCAAGCCUGAUCCAGCCAUCCCGCGUGAAGGAUUAAGGUCCUAUGGAUUGUAAACUUCUUUUAUACAGGGAUAAACCUCUCCUCGUGAGGAGAGCUGAAGGUACUGUAUGAAUAAGCACCGGCUAACUCCGUGCCAGCAGCCGCGGUAAUACGGAGGGUGCAAGCGUUAUCCGGAUUUAUUGGGUUUAAAGGGUCCGUAGGCGGGCCGAUAAGUCAGUGGUGAAAUCUCGCAGCUUAACUGUGAAACUGCCAUUGAUACUGUUGGUCUUGAGUAAAUUUGAAGUGGCUGGAAUAAGUAGUGUAGCGGUGAAAUGCGUAGAUAUUACUUAGAACGCCAAUUGCGAAGGGGGUCACUAAGAUUUAACUGACGCUGAGGACGAAAGCGUAGUAGGACAGGAUUAGAUACCAGGGAUCCCGCCGUAAACGAUGCUAACUCGUUUUUGGGCACUGUGCCAGAGACCGAGCGAAAGUGAUAA
rnacentral:rRNA from 1 species